CCCGCGUGCUGUUGGUUGUGUAGUAGCGUCGAGUCGAGUUAGGUUGUGAGUGAGACGAGACGAGACGAGACGAGACGAGACGGGACGUGGCGAGGCGAGACGAGACGAGGCGAGGCGAGGCGACUCAUCACGCUUGUUUUCCGCCUGCCCGCGAUUAGCGAGAGUCAUCCUGGGAGGCCCGUUCGUCUUUCGCACCUUUCGCGUAUCCUUUCGAAACGGUUUCUUCGCACCUCCGCGUCAGCGAACAAGGCGCGGAAGGGGUGGGGAGGCGAACUUGGACGAGAAGGAAAAUUUGCGAGCGACCGACAAGAACGGAAAAAUCAUUCGCGCCAAUGAUCGUCGGGUGUGACGUAUAGCAAUGUAUAGGCAUCGUUCCGACGGACACAGCCGACCGACGGAGGAACAUACUUGAUGCCACCCCAGCUAACAUUACUCAGAAAAUCCACCGGACUCGUGAGAUCCGGUAUAUAAGGGAAUCGCAAGAGAAAAUCCA